CUUUAUUCAGUUUAUACAAAAUUCAGUUGUAUACCACAUAACUUAUCAAAAAAUAUUAUCUUUAAGAUACUCAAGAAAAUAGAUAUAUAUUAUUUUAACAGAUCUCCUCAUUUUCAUUCAGAAGUCUCUGGUUAAUAUCAUGUUCUUGGCUGGUCUGAUCAUUAGAUAUUUCAUUUUGAUUAUUCUCCCCACUUCUACCUCAUAGCACCAUGUAAAGUCCAAUCACAAUGAUCAAACCGCCAAUAAUCCUGUGAAAAUUUAACUCAAUUAACUAAAAUCACUUCCUUGUUUCCUGUUAUAUAUAAUUUUUAAUCAGCUUACCCUCCAGAAUAUAGUUUGUCCCCAAGUAAAAAGAAACCCAAAACAGCAGUUGCCAUGGUUUUGACCGGAUCGAAAAUCCCGACAAAGAAUGGUCCUCCGCCAUUAAUGCACCAUGCUUGAAGAGGAAAACACAUCCCUGAUACAAUAACUCCCUACAUAUUAUAUAAAAUCAUGAACAUGAUUGAUCUCUAUUAUUAUAACGAUCGUCGCCGUCAUAUAUAUUGGAAGCUCACAUUAUAGAGCAAAGCUAACAACACUCCUCUUGAUUCAAACUUCCACAUCUCGACGUCUCUCUCAGUGAUUGCCGAGAUGGCCGCCAAUUGGAUUGAUCCGAAUAAGCAAGUGUAGGAAGUGAGUGUGAGCUUUGCUGGGUACUUCUUUAAAAGUGGAUCUUGAAGUACCAACCAACUUGAUCUUGCUAGACAAGCCCCAAACAUGAAGGUGCAUCCUAAAGUCCAUUUGCUUAUCAUAUCUUUUUGUGGCAGUGAUGAUGAAUUGAGGAGAAGUACAGGACCUUUGAAAAGAGUUAUGACAAUAGAUCCUGCCAUUGUUGUUAAGGUUCCAACCAGUUUCCCCCAUCCAUAUCUGUCAGUCAGACUCACCUUCUCGAUCCUCAAUCCCACUGACAUGAUGAAAAUCAUCGCCGGAGCGGUGUUGAGGAUGGCAGAAGAGAAGGUUGAUGAUAUAUAAGACAGUCCCAGAAGAAAUAACCAUUUGUUCAAUGUAAUCCUACAAUCAAUCAACCAUCAAUCAUGCAUCAACAAUGCGUUUAAAUUAAUACUGCGGGGUUCUGACGAAAUUCAGUGCUUUAGUGAUGGUAUGAUCGUAUCCAAAACAAAAAAAAUAUAAAUACUGAAUGAAUGGUGAUUGGAAUUGAAACUUACCCAAUCAGCGCGAUAAGAAAGAAUUGGAGCAGCAAUGAGUGUUAGAGGUGGUCUUUCUUCCAUGUUAGUGAUUAGUAGUGGUUAGUGAUUAGUAGUGGUUAUUGAUCGAUCGAUCAUUUGAAAUUAAUCAAUGAUGAAUUAAAGAAAAUCUGCAUAUAGUGAAACUUAGCCUACUUUUCGAGAAAAUAUGUAAAGGGUGCCAAGAAUAAGAAACCAAUGGAGUUCUUGUAAGUUGAGAAUACAAGUUUGCUUACAUCUGUCUUCAGAGAGAGAGAGCUGACACCACAGACAUUCCUGCAGCACAAAUUUGAAGAACCAAAACUCCCAAAAGAAGCUUCUUCAUCGAUCUUUCGGCAAGUUAUCCUCGAUGUCCUCUUCCUGUGAUUAGCAAGUCAUCUACGUAUGCUAGUAUAAAUAUCUUGCUUGUUUCAUUUAUUUUCAUGAAUAGUACAUAGUCUGACUUGGUUUGUUUAAAUCCCACUUGUAAUGCCACUUGUAAUAUCACUUGCUAUUUUAAUUUAAUAGAUAUAUCAUAGAUAUAUUUACACAUAAAAAAAACUAAGAUUUAAACAGACCAAGUCAGACUAUGUACUAUUCAUGAAAAUAAAUGAAACAAACAAGAUAUUUAUACUAGCAUACAUAGAUGACUUGCUAAUCACAGAAAAUAAUCUAAAAGAAAUAAUACAACUAAAGAAAGAAUUAACUAGCAAUUUUUUUUACCAUAAAAAACUUAGGAAAAUUAAAAUAUUUUCUAGGAUUAGAAUUCACAACAAAACAAUGAUUAUAUAUGAGUCAAAGAAAAUAUGCAACUGAAAUCUAGAACAACCUAAUUAUGUACAUGCAAAACCAGGAGAGUAUCCAUUAUAUACUAGUUCUAGUCAUAAUUCCAAACAGAAUCAAAAGGAAGAAAUUCUUGAAGAUCCUACUGUAUACAGGAAAAUAGUUGGAAAACUCGUAUAUUUAACAGUCACAAGACCAGAUAUCAUGCAUGCAGUUAACUGUCUAAGUCAACAUAUGGCAAGGCCUACAAAUGAAGAUACAAGAAAAGUCAACAAAGUACUGAGAUACAUAAAAAGCUCACCGGGUCGUGGACUCUUCUUUUCAUCAGUAUCGCACACCUCCUGGAUCAAGGCUUUUUCAUACUCAGAUUGGGCUGCUUGUCCAACCACGCGAAGAUCGACGACAGGGUUCGCCAUAUUCCUUAAUGAAAACCUGAUUUCAUGGCAAACCAAAAAGUAACACAGGAUUGCAAGAUCAUCAACAGAAGCAGAAUACCGAGCUCUAGCAUACACGACUUGUGAAAUAACAUGGCUACGACAUCUACUAGAAGAACUAAAAAUAAAUGUACCUGCAACAACGACACUCUUAACAGAUAGCUCCUCAGCUGCUGCAAUCACAAACAACCUAGUUCUUCAUCAAAGAACAAAACAUAUAGAGAUUGACAUACACACAAUAAGAGAUAAGGUGUUUAUAAAGGAGAUAAAAAUAAACAAGGUAAAUACGAAAGAAAAUGUUGCAGACAUAUUUACCAAAGAGGUCACCGACACACUCUUCAGAACUCUUCGUGACAAACUCAGAAUAGAAGAUCUGCAUGCAAGCGCAAAAGAUUAAAGAAGGAAAUAGAAGUAGAAUGAGAAGCUAACUACUAUCAGCGGAGUCACCUUUCUGAAUCCGAUGAUCGUUUUCCAAGCUUCCCACUUUUUUUUCAACUUUUCGCGCAAGAAUAGAGAAACCCCUAGUUACGAACAAGAAGCCAAAGUCACAAUACAAAUAUUCUCUUUUUAUACAAACAGUUGGGCCUACCUUCAAUCCAAAAUUUAAGAUCUCCAAACCAAAGUUUUGUAAAUCAAUUGCUCCCCGUCAAUUAAAUUCCAACUACAUCGUCAGUGAGUGUGAGGUUUGCUAGGUACUUCUUCGACAGUGGGUCAUGGCAGACCAAUCAAACAUGACGAUGCGAUCUCUAUUUGUUUAUCAAAUUAUUAGGUAGAUUGAUGGUGGUGAUUUAAUAAAUAUUUGUCUCAUUGGAAUUAAAAAAUGUUAUCUUUAAAAUAUUUAAGAAACUAUAGUAAGAUUGUUUUGAAUGGUUAAUUUCUAGUAGAGGUGAGCUUGGGUCGGGUCAAAUACGAGCCCGACCUGAACAUAUUUAUUCUAAAAGGAUCAUAUCCGGUUGCAACACACGGUUUAUUUAUUUGUCUAUGUUGAUGACAUCGUCAUUAAUUUCUGGAUCAAAUGACGAUAUUGUUGAAACAAUCAUCGUGAAGCUAAGUAAUGAAUUUUGAUUUACGCUGCUUGGCGAAUCUAUCUUUCUUUCUUGGACUUCAGGUAACAUCGGUUGGUCUUGGGUUGCAUUUGAAUCAGGCUCAAUAUCUCAGCAACUUGCUCAAGAGUUGUGAUCUGGUAAACUUGAAGCCUUCUAUCACGCCUAUGGUCAAGAAUCAAGAUCUUCACUCAGUAGAAGAACCCAUCAAAGAGGAAAAAGAAUAUCUACGAAUUAUCGGAUCAUUAUAAUAUCUGAUACUAGCUCGUCCGGACAUUCAAUUUGCGUUCAAUAAGUUAUCACAAUUUAUGUCGACUCCAAAACCUCUUCAUUGGGUUGCAAUGAAGAAGAUGUUGCAGUAUCUCUCUAGGACACAACAGCUUGGAAUUCUACUUACAAAUGUAUCACAUUUUUUUCUUUCUAGUUUUUGUGAUGCCGAUUGGGGGGGGGGUGAUACUAUUGAUUGCAAGAGUCAGAGAGGGUACUUGAUCUAUCUUGGUGAGUCGUUAGUUGCGUGGAGCUCUCGGAAACAGGAUAUCGUCGCUCAUUCAAGCACAUAAUCUGAAUAUAGGACUAUUUCUACCACUAUCACGGAAUUGGAGUGGAUGAAGAACCUGUUGAAGGAGUUAGGGGUUGACACUAAAGGUCCAAUGCAACUCAAAUCUGACAAUUUGGGGGCUACGUUUCUCGCGUCUAAUUCAGCUUAUCAUACAAGAUUAAAGCAUGUUGCAGUAGAUCUUAAAUAUGUCAGAGAACGAGUUGAAGCAGGGUCUGUUAAUGUUACUCAUGUUCCUGGGAGGCUACAACAAGCAGAUGUGCUAACAAAGGCUUUGGAUCCUAAAUCGUUUGCUGAGCAAAGAUCCAAUCUUGUGAGUAAACGAUCCCAAGAUUGAGGGGGUGUAUUAUCUUAAACGAUUUGCUGUCAAUUACAUAGCAGCUAUUACACGUUACAUAUCAAUAAAAUCCUAACCCUAUUGUAAUUUAGGUCAAGAUUUUAUUGACCGUCCUUUUUUGUAUAUAGUAACUCCAACGUUACAUUUGUAUAGUUUAAAUAGCAAUGUAUGCAUGAAUAAAACUCACAUUCAUUUUCCUGAAAAUACAUCUUUCAUAAAAUAUAAUAAAACUAGAUAUAUAUCAUUUUAACAGAUCUCCUCAUCUUCAUUCAGAAGUCUCUGGUUAAUAUCAUGUUCUUGGCUGGUCUGAUCAUUAGAUAUUUCAGUUUGAUUAUUCUCCCCACUUCUACCCCAUAGCACCAUGUAAAGUCCAAUCACAAUGAUCAAACCGCCAAUAAUCCUGUGAAAAUUUAACUCAAUUAACUAAAAUCACUUCCUUGUUUCCUGUUAUAUAUAAUUUUUAAUCAGCUUACCCUCCAGAAUAUAGUUUGUCCCCAAGUAAAAAGAAACCCAAAACAGCAGUUGCCAUGGUUUUGACCGGAUCGAAAAUCCCGACAAAGAAUGGUCCUCCGCCAUUAAUGCACCAUGCUUGAAGAGGAAAACACAUCCCUGAUACAAUAACUCCCUACAUAUUGUAUAAAAUCAUGAACAUGAUCGAUCUCUAUUAUUAUAACGAUCGUCACCGUUAUAUAUAUUGGAAGCUCACAUUAUAGAGCAAAGCUAACAACACUCCUCUUGAUUCAAUCUUCCACAUCUCGACGUCUCUCUCAGUGAUUGCCGAGAUGGCCGCCAAUUGGAUUUAUCCGAAUAAGCAAGUGUAGGCAGUGAGUGUGAGCUUUGCUGGGUACUUCUUUAAAAGUGGAUCUUGAAGUACCAACCAACUUGAUCUUGCUAGACAAGCCCCAAACAUGAAGAUGCAUCCUAAAGUCCAUUUGCUUAUCAUAUCUAUUUGUGGCAGUGAUGAUGAAUUGAGGAGAAGUACAGGACCUUUGAAAAGAGUUAUGACAAUAGCUCCUGCCAUUGUUGUUAAGGUUCCAACCAGUUUCCCCCAUCCAUAUCUGUCAGUCAGACUCACCUUCUCGAUCCUCAAUCCCACUGACAUGAUGAAAAUCAUCGCCGGAACGGUGUUGAGGAUGGCAGAAGAGAAGGUUGAUGAUAGGUAAGACAACCCCAGAAGAAAUAACCAUUGGUUCAAUGUAAUCCUAUACAAUCAAUCAACCAUCAACCAACAAUCAUGUAUCACCAAUGUAUAGUAUCCAGUGCUGGUAUAAUCGUACCCAAAACAAAAAAUAAAUAAAUACUGAAUGAAUGAAUGAAUUUAUUGGAGCUUACCCAAUCAGCGCGAUAAGAAAGAAUUGGAGCAGCAAUGAGAGUGUUAGAGGUGGUCUUUCUUUCCUGUUAGUAAUUAAGUAGGCAAUUAGUAGUAGUUAUCGAUUGAUCGAUCAGUCGAAUUUAAUCACCGACGAAUCAAAGAAAAUCAGCAUAUAAUAAAACUUAACCUACUUUUCGAGAAAAUAUGCAAAGGGUGCCAAGAAUAAGAAACCAAUGAAAUUUCUGUAUGUUGUGAACACAAGUUUGCUUACACCCAUCUUCAGAGAGAGAGCAGACACGACAGACAUUCCUGCAACACAAAUUUGGAGAACCAAAACUCCCAAAAGAAGCUUCAUCAAUCUUCCCUCUAGUUAUCCUCGAUGUCCUCUUCAGAUCUCCUCUCUUUUCACUUAAAGUUUUGCAAAGCAAUUGCUCCCCUUCAAUUAAAUACCCAACUACAUCGUCAGUGAGUGUGAGGUUUGCUAGGUACUUCUCCGACAGUGGGUCAUGGCAGACCAAUGAAACAUGACGAUGCAUUGAUCUCUAUUUGUUUAUCAAAUUAUUAAGUAGAUUGAUGGUGGUGAUUUAAUAAAUAUUUGUCUCAUUGGAAUUAAAAAAUGUUAUCUUUAAAAUAUUUUAGAAACUAUAGUAAAAUUGUUUUGAAUGGUUAAUUUCUAGUAGGGGUGGGUUUGGGUCGGGUCAAACACGAACCCGACCCUGAACAUGUUGGUUCUGGGUCUGGGUUCAGAUGGAUAUUUUCGACCCUGAACAUGUUGGAUCCCGAGUUUUUUUAUCCAAUUUUUUCGGGUCAAGUUCGAGUAAGACCCAAACCAAUCCCCCGUAUGAAAUAUAAAAGAAAUUUUAUUUUAUAUAAAAUAUUUAAUAAAUUUAAUAUAUAUAUUUAAUAAAUUUUUCCUCUUCUUCUAAAAUCUAAAAUCUAAAAUUAUUUUCAUUUCCAUCUCUUCUUUCAUUUUCAUCUUCCCUCUCCCUUUCAUCACUGUCGCCGCAUCUAUUUUUACAUUUGAGUAUUUGAAUAAAAAUUAUUUGAUAUUUUAUCUUAUUUAAGAUUUAAAAAAAUUAUUUGAUGUUUUAUAUUAUUUAAGAAUUAUUUGAUGCUUUAUCUUAUUUAAUAAUUAUUUAAUGUUUUAUCUUGUUUAAAAAUUAUUUUAUGUUUUGUAUUAUUUAAGAAUUAUUUGAUGGUUUUUAUUAAUUAUUAUUUGUUAUUUUAUAUUAUUUAAGAAUUAUUUGAUGUUUUAUAUUAUUUAAAAAUUAUUUGAUCAAAAUUUUCAAAUUAUUUAAAUAAUAAGAUUCUUUAUGCAAAAUUUUCUAAAAAAAUCAUUAAACCCGAACCUGACCGAAUCUGACAUCUAAAUUGGGUUCGGGUACUAUGAUUUUGGAUGUUCCCAGGUUUUGACCCGAAUCCGAUUUCAAAACUUCGUUUUACUACAUUCAAAGAUCCUUUCUCUCUCUGAUGUUUACUGAUUUUUGUAGGCCCUACUCCAGUUUUGUCAUCUCAUGGUUUUCGUUAUUAUGUAAAUUUUAUGGAUGCAGAGUCAAAUUUUAAUUGGGUAUUUUCUCUGCAUUUCAAGUCACAAGUUGGAUAGUUGUUUAAAAAGUUUAAAGUAUUGGCAGAGGCUCAAUGUGGUUAUUCGAUUAAAUCAUUUCAGUCAGAUAACGCCAUAUCCGUACAAUCAUCAACAGAUGAGAUCUGUUGAACAUCGUCAUAAAACAAGGUAAAGUCCAAUCACAAUGAUCAAACCACCAAUAAUC
rnacentral:lncRNA from 1 species